rnacentral:rRNA from 1 species
GUAGGGAAUAUUGGGCAAUGGGGGAAACCCUGACCCAGCAACGCCGCGUGAGGGAAGAAGGCCUAACGGUUGUAAACCUCUGUCAUAUGGGAAGAAGGAAUGACAGUACCAUAUGAGGAAGCUCCGGCUAACUACGUGCCAGCAGCCGCGGUAAUACGUAGGGAGCAAGCGUUGUCCGGAAUUACUGGGUGUAAAGGGUGCGUAGGCGGCCUAGCAAGUCAGACGUGAAAUACACGGGCUUAACCCGUGGGCUGCGUUUGAAACUGUAUGGCUUGAGUGAGGUAGAGGCAGGCGGAAUUCCCGGUGUAGCGGUGGAAUGCGUAGAGAUCGGGAGGAACACCAGUGGCGAAGGCGGCCUGCUGGGCCUUAACUGACGCUGAGGCACGAAAGCGUGGGUAGCAAACAGGAUUAGAAACCCCUGUAGUCC